rnacentral:miRNA from 1 species
GACAGGAAUUCUAAUUGCAAAUU